rnacentral:rRNA from 1 species
UUGAAAGGGAAACGAUUGAAGUCAGUCGUACCGACGAGAAAUCAGCUUUUCGAAUGUGCAUUUGUGGGCGUAUGAGAUCUUCAUUGUUUGCAAUAUGUAUAUUUCUUUGGUGUACUUUUUCGUAUGGUAGGUCAACGUCGGUUUUGAUCGCCAUAAAAUGACCGGAGGAAUGUAGCUUCGGCUUCGGUUGAAGUGUUAUAGCCUUUGGUAAAUGUGGUGAUUAGGACCGAGGAUCGCAACGAAUGCCUUUUAGCCUCAACGUCUUCCUCUGAAACUUACUUUGGUGCCGAAAGCUUGCUUACGGUCAUUUNNUCGAACGGCCAAUAGGUUAGANGUGCGACNCAUUCGUUAAGGAUGUUGACGUA